GACGAACGCUGGCGGCGUGCCUAAUACAUGCAAGUAGGACGCAGUUGCGAACGGGUGAGUAACGCGUAGGUAACUACCUAUUAGAGGGGGAUAACUAUUGGAAACGAUAGCUAAUACCGCAUACUAGUAGAUGGAACUGCGUUGUAUUAGCUAGUAGGUAGGGUAAUGGCCUACCUAGGCAACGAUAGAUAGCCGAACUUGGGGGGGUAGUGGCCACACUGGGACGGGGACACGGCCCAGACGCCUACGGGAGGCAGCAGGAGGGAAACUUCGGCAAGGGGGGGAACCCUGACCGAGCAACGCCGCGGGAGGGAAGAAGGUUUUCGGAUCGUAAAGCUCUGUUGUUAAGGAAGCGGUACUUAACCAGAAAGGGACGGCUAACUACGUGCCAGCAGCCGCGGUAAUUC
rnacentral:rRNA from 1 species